rnacentral:rRNA from 1 species
GUCUUAUUGAAAUUAAUAAUAAGUCUUCCCUGCUCACUGAAAAUUAAAGAGCCGCAGUAUUUUGACUGUGCUAAGGUAGCAUAAUAAAUAGUCUUUUAAUUGAGGACUAGAAUGAAUGGGUUAAUAAAGAAAAGACUGUCUACAAUAAUUUAUUUAUAAUUUAAUAUUUAAGUCAAAAAGCUUAAAUAAAAUUAUGGGACGAGAAGACCCUAUAGAUUUUUACUUAAAAUUAUAAAAAUUUAAUUAUAAUAAAAAUUUAUGUAAUCUAAGUUUAACUGGGGCGGUUUAAAAACAAAAUUAACUUUUUAAGAUAAAAUUAUAUAUUAAUAAAUUUUAGAUCCAUUAAUUAAUGAUAAAAAGAUUAAAUUACCUUAGGGAUAACAGCAUAAUUUUAUUGGAAAGUUCAUAUAGAAAAUAAAGUUUGUGACCUCGAUGUUGAAUUAAAAAAAUUUUUAUAAGCAGAAAUAUAAACAAUUAGUCUGUUCGACUAUUAAAAUU